UACGUAGGGUGCAAGCGUUGUCCGGAAUUAUUGGGCGUAAAGAGCUCGUAGGCGGUUUGUCGCGUCUGCUGUGAAAACCCGAGGCUCAACCUCGGGCCUGCAGUGGGUACGGGCAGACUAGAGUGCGGUAGGGGAGAUUGGAACUCCUGGUGUAGCGGUGGAAUGCGCAGAUAUCAGGAGGAACACCGGUGGCGAAGGCGGGGUCUCUGGGCAGUAACUGACGCUGGAGGAGCGAAAGCGUGGGGAGCGAACAGG
rnacentral:rRNA from 1 species